rnacentral:rRNA from 1 species
UACAGAGGUCCCAAGCGUUGUUCGGAUUCACUGGGCGUAAAGGGUGCGUAGGCGGCCUUCUAAGUCGGACGUGAAAGCCCCAGGCUUAACCUGGGAACUGCGUCCGAUACUGGGAGGCUUGGAUUCGGGAGAGGGAUGUGGAAUUCCAGGUGUAGCGGUGAAAUGCGUAGAUAUCUGGAGGAACACCGGUGGCGAAGGCGGCAUCCUGGACCGAGAUCGACGCUGAGGCGCGAAAGCUAGGGGAGCAAACGGG